UAGCAUAUCAAUAAGCGGAGGAAAAGAAACUAACAAGGAUUCCCCUAGUAGCGGCGAGCGAAGCGGGAAGAGCUCAAAUUUAUAAUCUGGCACCUUCGGUGUCCGAGUUGUAAUCUCUAGAAAUGUUUUCCGCGUUGGACCGCACACAAGUCUGUUGGAAUACAGCGGCAUAGUGGUGAGACCCCCGUAUAUGGUGCGGACGCCCAGCGCUUUGUGAUACAUUUUCGAAGAGUCGAGUUGUUUGGGAAUGCAGCUCAAAUUGGGUGGUAAAUUCCAUCUAAAGCUAAAUAUUGGCGAGAGACCGAUAGCGAACAAGUACCGUGAGGGAAAGAUGAAAAGCACUUUGGAAAGAGAGUUAACAGUACGUGAAAUUGUUGGAAGGGAAACGCUUGAAGUCAGACUUGCUUGCCGAGCAAUCGGUUUGCAGGCCAGCAUCAGUUUUCCGGGAUGGAUAAUGGUAGAGAGAAGGUAGCAGUUUCGGCUGUGUUAUAGCUCUCUGCUGGAUACAUCUUGGGGGACUGAGGAACGCAGUGUGCCUUUUGGCGGGGGUUUCGACCUCUUCACACUUAGGAUGCUGGUGGAAUGGCUUUAAACGACCCGUCUUGAAACACGGACCAAGGAGUCUAACAUGCUUGCGAGUAUUUGGGUGUCAAACCCGGAUGCGUAAUGAAAGUGAAUGGAGGUGGGAACCGCAAGGUGCACCAUCGACCGAUCUGGAUUUUUAAUGAUGGAUUUGAGUAAGAGCACGUAUGUUGGGACCCGAAAGAUGGUGAACUAUGCCUGAAUAGGGCGAAGCCAGAGGAAACUCUGGUGGAGGCUCGUAGCGGUUCUGACGUGCAAAUCGAUCGUCAAAUUUGGGUAUAGGGGCGAAAGACUAAUCGAACCAUCUAGUAGCUGGUUCCUGCCGAAGU
rnacentral:rRNA from 1 species